ACUAGAUUUACAAAAUUGAACAAAUAAACUGAGACGGAAAGAGUAGUUAAUGUCCAAGCCUACUCUGUGUGGGGGGAGAGAGAGAGAGAGAGUCAAAAAAACCAUCCGACUGUAACACAUAGAGACACACUUCUAGACCUCAAAAAUUACCACCAACCAAAAGGGCUAUGAGAGCUCAAUCACCCUAUAAGAGAGAUUCCAAUCCAAGCACAACAAUCUGUUUUCAUCUGAUUUCCUCAAUUUCCUCCAAGAGCUAACAUAAGCUCUAACGUCUGAAGCCACUGUCACCAUGACCACGUUCGCAGCAGAAAUCUUGUGCCGAAGAAUACGGCAAUUCCUUUCCUUCCACAGAUAGUAGAGUAUAUGACAGCUGAACAAGAUAACUUCAAAAGCAAAUGCCGUAGAUUAGAUACUGCUCUAGGGAUUUUUGUCCACUCGAACUCUUGAGCCAAAGGAAGACGAGGUCUACGAAUGCCAUUCUUCAUCAAAAAAUGCUGCCAAACACGAGAGGAGAAAGGGCUGGAGAAGAAGAGAUGCCCAUGAGAUUCAGCCCCAUUGUCACACAACAAAACACACCUAUCUGAAUCAACUACACCCGAACUACGUAAUAUGUCCCGUGUGAGUUUCUAUGCGGUUCAAGUCUUUUCCCACUUACAAAAGUGCUCAAAUAAUACUAUUAUCUUCUGUUUUAGUGGUCAGAAAUGUGCCAACCUCUCAUUUCUCUAAUUUACACUCGAACGCAAUCUAAAUCUGCAUUUCCUUUACAGCGGAAGACUAACAUUUUACAAACCAAAUGAACCAUCAAAUGAAAUUACAAGAAACAGAUGGGAAAAAAAAUCAUCACCCGGUC